AUUGAACGCUGGCGGCAGGCCUAACACAUGCAAGUCGAGCGGAUGACGGGAGCUUGCUCCUUGAUUCAGCGGCGGACGGGUGAGUAAUGCCUAGGAAUCUGCCUGGUAGUGGGGGACAACGUUUCGAAAGGAACGCUAAUACCGCAUACGUCCUACGGGAGAAAGCAGGGGACCUUCGGGCCUUGCGCUAUCAGAUGAGCCUAGGUCGGAUUAGCUUGUUGGUGAGGUAAUGGCUCACCAAGGCGACGAUCCGUAACUGGUCUGAGAGGAUGAUCAGUCAAAUUGGAACUGAGACGCGGUCCAGACUCCUACGGGAGGCAGCAGUGGGGAAUAUUGGACAAUGGGCGAAAGCCUGAACCAGCCAUGCCGCGUGUGUGAAGAAGGUCUUCGGAUUGUAAAGCACUUUAAGUUGGGAGGAAGGGUUGUAGACUAAUACUCUGCAAUUUUGACGUUACCGACAGAAUAAGCACCGGCUAACUCUGUGCCAGCAGCCGCCGUAACAC
rnacentral:rRNA from 1 species